UCGGGAGUCGCCAAGUGGUAAGGCACCGGUUUUUGGUACCGGCAUUCGGGGGUUCGAAUCCCUCCUCCCGAGCCA
rnacentral:tRNA from 2 species